rnacentral:rRNA from 1 species
GAUGAACGCUGGCGGCGUGCCUAAUACAUGCAAGUCGAGCGAACAGACGAGGAGCUUGCUCCUCUGACGUUAGCGGCGGACGGGUGAGUAACACGUGGAUAACCUACCUAUAAGACUGGGAUAACUUCGGGAAACCGGAGCUAAUACCGGAUAAUAUAUUGAACCGCAUGGUUCAAUAGUGAAAGACGGUUUUGCUGUCACUUAUAGCUGGAUCCGCGCCGCAUUAGCUAGUUGGUAAGGUAACGGCUUACCAAGGCUACGAUGCGUAGCCGAUCUGAGAGGGUGAUCGGCCACACUGGAACUGAGACACGGUCCAGACUCCUACGGGAGGCAGCAGUAGGGAAUCUUCCGCAAUGGGCGAAAGCCUGACGGAGCAACGCCGCGUGAGUGAUGAAGGUCUUCGGAUCGUAAAGCUCUGUUAUUGGGGAAGAACAAAUGUGUAAGUAACUAUGCACGUCUUGACGGUACCUAAUCAGAAAGCCACGGCUAACUACGUG